UACAGUACGCCUGCACAUGUGAAUAGGAAGUUUUCUCCCUCUCUUCUAUGCUUCUUAAGAAGUUGCACUGCUCUUUAACUCACACCUCAGCACUGACUUAUAUCCUAUCCGAAGAGACGGAAUACAGAAACGUAUUGCCUUCUAAAAUGGACUUUUCGCAUUGUUUUCCGCUUGUAUGUGGCUGGUGGCAUGCUAGUCUUGCACUGAUCAGCUUUUUGGCAGGGGCACUAAUGUGGUUUAUAACUACAAAAGUAGUGAAUAUUUGGUUUAACAAAGGAAAGUGUAUCUGCAACCGUGUGGCCACACGUGAUGGAGGGCAUCGUGCAUUCAUGGGAGAUAAGAAGCUAUGCAUUGCAGCACAGAACAGCGAAACACUUAACAGAGUCACAGAACUUAUGGAGUUUUUGCAGAGCAAGAUAAAGAUAGAAAUUGAGCAUCUCAAAUUGGAAAAUCAAGGCAGCAAGCCUGACUUCAGUCGCGUCAGCUACAUUCUAUGCUGUGCAGAGGUAACAUCGGGGAGGGGAAUUAUACUGUCUGCUGACAACCAACCUGAUCAGCUUGGGGCUAUAACAACGCACGCGGAGAAUGCCAAAGCGCACUGUGCGAUACUACUUCAUGGUAAACAAGAUCCUGAGGAGGGACAACUCUAUGACGAGACUCGACUGGCUGCAAUGGUGCAAACCCAACCAAGACUGAAAGAUUUUAUGGACACAGACACAUUGUUCAGUUUUCACUCUAAGUUAAAUGAGAAGCAAGUGAAUGCUCUCCUCAGAUGGCUCUGCAACAAGGAUAUAUGAUUUAAGGGUCUGUGAAGCGGUGUGUGGUACCAACUUUGCCUUGUGAUACUGACAUCAUACAUAAUAUCACAUGUAAAAGGCGGGUGCUCUGUUUCAAAGAUGAUACUGUAAAGAUAUUGAGCCUCUUGCAGAUAAGUUACCAAACAAAAUUUAUUAUUGCAGCAUUUGAUAUUCUAUAUUCUUUAAAUGUCGACACUGAGCGUUGGUUAAGUCAACCCUUUCAAGAAUGUUUUACAAUUUUGCAUCUGCCCAUAACAAGCACAAUCCUACUUAGCAAAAAUAUUCUCCUAUAGUUCAAUUGCAAAUGAACAAUACAAUCUAGUUAGUUUCAUAUAUUUUGCACAACAGUCCUGUCAUUAAAAACGACAAAGGGGUGUUUGGCCUACAUUGGGCUAUUUUCCCAACAAUGUAUAUUUCUCCAUGGACGGUUCUAAAAACAUUAGGGGAGAACGUGUAGUUUUAUGGAGCAGUACCAUGCAACACUAAUAGGAAACUGUUGGAUGCAUCAUUUGCGUGCAUGCAAGAGGUGUCAAUUGUCUUCAAUAUGAACUAUAUUUCAAAUGUAUGUACCGAAUUCUAAUCACAAGGCCAUAAUGUCAGGCAAAUCUAAAGUGUGUAUUCUCUCCAAGACAGGUCUUUUUAGCAUCAAAUCACAAGAGACGGUGUUUUCCUUAAUCCUAAAUCACUACAACCACAUGUCAUGAUAGGUAAAACAAAACAAGUAUGCAUUGAAUGUACGAGAAGUAUUAUUCACGACAAUAAAGCUCAUUAGAAAACUUCA